UGCAGUGGAGACCUCUAAAUACUCUGGCUGU
rnacentral:piRNA from 1 species